rnacentral:lncRNA from 1 species
UAUUUCCUGAUAUGCUGAACUCCAUAUAUGAAUUGGGAAGCUAUGCUGAUAUGAAACCAAUACACUACUUGUUGGACCAGUGUAGCACGCAAUAAGCCUCCACAAAACAAGGCAACAUCCGUUAGAACAUACAGAAGCCAACUCAUGUAGAAUAUGGAAAAUCAGAUAUAUGUGUCAUCUUGAUGUAAUACAUCACUUAUAUGCAGUACUGCUUAUAUGAGCAUUCAAUAUUAUUUUUCUUUGCGGCACACAGUAUUGCCCACAUUGUCUUUUCUCCUGUUGAUGUAAAAAGUUCGACGGAAAAGCUCAAUACGAGUACAGUGAAAUAAACUUGCACAUGCAGGCAAGACACCAACUCCUAUAUUAUUUGAAGAGGGUAUUUCGCACAUAUUCAGGCAAGACACAUGCAGGCAAGACCCACGGAUUCAGAGACCCACGCGAUUUUAAUCCUAUGUAAUAUCGCUAAGCAAAAGCUGGUAUAGUGGUAUACUCCUUCUCAUAAGUAAUGUUAACUGUUAAUAUUAAUAUCUUAGUGUGGUGGUAUCAGCCAGGAGCAACCUAGCAAGCUCCUGGGUCUAGACAUGGCCAACACAGGUUAACAAAAGCAAUUGAGGCCCACGUACAAAAAAAUAUACUAUUCAGAUAAAACUACUUCCACAAAAUGAAAUGCUAGGAACGGAAGAAAGAAGCGCGGUAGAAAUUGGAUACAGAAUGAAAUUUUAAUUACCAUAUGUGAACGAUGUGGCAGGGAUGUUGACCACGCCACCUAAUUAUCAUUAAUGAAUUGACCUGAUUGAUAAACUGGACAGUGUAAAUAGUUGGAGGUUCAAAUUCAAAUGGUGUUUAAUAGGUCAGGUUUGAUAAGUGGUCCUUUUUCAUUUGAUAAACAUUAUUGUGAGUUGCCACGACAAGAACUAUUUGCAUAUGCUGGAAAGUAACAACUAACUUGAACAAAUAUAUUGUCUCUUGAAAAGAAAGGGACUAAAUGAAUAUCUCUAUGCAGUGGACUUUCCAAGGGUAUCACAUGAGGCUUCUCCCGCUAUGAAGAUUUGGGAGGGUAUUCCAACACAAAUGGAGCUCACAAAGAUGGGUUUAGCAAGCUUCAUGGUGAAUACCUUAAACACACACCAAUAAGAAAUUCACCUCUUUCAGAUUUGCCAUCCUUCUGUCGCAUGAUUUCCCAAAUUCACUACUGUUGUCUCAGUGUAUCACUUCAUUUUACUUCUCCAGGCUCAGAAAAAAAAACACCGUCACAAGUUCUUGACAGGGACAUCUACUAUUCGACCUACCACACUACCCUAGAGAGGAGGAAGUUUAGGAAAGAGGAAUAGGAAGCAUUCACCAAAGAAGAAACAAGAAAGGGUAUGCAACAGUUACUGUCCUCGCCAAAUUUCAACAGGUGGGCGCUUGCCAAUGCGGACAGGAUAUUAGUGACUCCAGUAGGAUGUGGACACAACAGCAGCCAGGAGCGACAUCGUUUCUUUGGAUGGUUUUAAAUUGUGUAUGGUUACAGAUUUAUCAGUUACUCGUGUCUCAAGUGCUUGCAGCAACAUGUGUGGUUCAGUGAUUCUAUGAAGGCUAGGAUAUGAUAGUAGCUGAAUGUUACCAGUGUUUUUAGUGGCGACAGCAACAUGUGUGGUUCAGUGAUUUAGAGACCCACGCGAGGGGGAAAGAACGAAGGGAGUUGCUCACUUAUUGUAUCCAAGGAUGGUGCCGCAGACGUAGAGCCGCACGCGCUAGCCGGUGGCACUCCUCCACGCGGACGUGUCUGGCCCAAUCUAUCAUCUCCUUCCUGGUGAGGGCCAACAGGCGACGACGGCGGCACACACACCAAGCGGCGGCGAGACGAGUCCAUGGAGCG